rnacentral:ncRNA from 1 species
CUCACGGGGGAGCUCAUGUUAUGGGCUGAGAAAGGGCUAGCGAGCACCUGACCCCAGGAACCUGAUCGGGAUAAUGCCCGCGUAGGGAGGUGGAUAGAUUAU